rnacentral:rRNA from 1 species
UUGACCUCGGAUCAGGUAGGAAUACCCGCUGAACUUAAGCAUAUCAAUAAGCGGAGGAAAAGAAACCAACAGGGAUUGCCUUAGUAACGGCGAGUGAAGCGGCAACAGCUCAAAUUUGAAAUCUGGCCCCCAGGCCCGAGUUGUAAUUUGUAGAGGAUGCUUCUGGCGACGCGCCUUCCGAGUUCCCUGGAACGGGACGCCAAAGAGGGUGAGAGCCCCGUCCGGUCGUGCGCCUAGCCUCUGUGAAGCUCCUUCGACGAGUCGAGUAGUUUGGGAAUGCUGCUCUAAAUGGGAGGUAUACGUCUUCUAAAGCUAAAUACCGGCCAGAGACCGAUAGCGCACAAGUAGAGUGAUCGAAAGAUGAAAAGCACUUUGAAAAGAGGGUUAAAUAGUACGUGAAAUUGCUGAAAGGGAAGCGCUUAUGACCAGACUUGGGCUCGGUGAAUCAUCCGGCGUUCUCGCCGGUGCACUUUGCCUGCCCAGGCCAGCAUCAGUUCGUCCCGGGGGAUAAAGGCUUCGGGAACGUAGCUCUUUCGGGAGUGUUAUAGACC